GUGAGGAAUAUUGCGCAAUGGAGGCAACUCUGACGCAGCCAUGCCGCGUGCAGGAAGAAGGCGCUACGCGUUGUAAACUGCUUUUAACCGGGAAGAAACCCCAGGACGUGUCCUGGGUUGACGGUACCGGAGGAAUAAGCACCGGCUAACUUCGUGCCAGCAGCCGCGGUAAUACGAAGGGUGCAAGCGAUAUCCGGAGUCCUUGGGUUUAAAGGGUGCGUAGGCGGAGCGUUAAGUCAGUGGUGAAGUCCUGCAGCUUAACUGUAGACUUGCCAUUGAUACUGGCGCUCUUGAGUGCGCUUGAAGUGGGCGGAAUGUGCCGUGUAGCGGUGAAAUGCUUAGAUAUGGCACAGAACACCAAUUGCGAAGGCAGCUUGCUGAACCAUUAUUGACGCUGAGGCACGAAAGCGUGGGGAGCGAACAGGAUUAGAAACCCUUGUAGUCC
rnacentral:rRNA from 1 species